rnacentral:rRNA from 1 species
AGAGUUUGAUCAUGGCUCAGAGCGAACGCUGGCGGCAGGCCUAAUACAUGCAAGUCGAGCGGGUCCUUCGGGAUUAGCGGCGGACGGGUGAGUAACGCGUGGGAACGUGCCCUUUGGUACGGAACAACUGAGGGAAACUUCAGCUAAUACCGUAUGUGCCCUUCGGGGAAAGAUUUAUCGCCAUUGGAGCGGCCCGCGUUGGAUUAGGUAGUUGGUGAGGUAAAGGCUCACCAAGCCUACGAUCCAUAGCUGGUCUGAGAGGAUGACCAGCCACACUGGGACUGAGACACGGCCCAGACUCCUACGGGAGGCAGCAGUAGGGAAUCUUGCGCAAUGGGCGAAAGCCUGACGCAGCCAUGCCGCGUGAAUGAUGAAGGUCUUAGGAUUGUAAAUUCUUCACCGGGGACGAUAAUGACGGUACCCGGAGAAGAAGCCCCGGCUAACUUCGUG